AAUGAACGUUGGCGGCGUGGAUUAGGCAUGCAAGUCGUACGGGUCGGUGUAGCAAUACAACGGCAAGUGGCGAAAGGGAGAGUAACACGUAGAUACCUACCCUCUGGUCGGGGAUACCGCGACAUAACCGCAAGUAAUACCCGAUAAAAUCUCCGGAUCAAAGGUGUGAUUCCGCCGGAGGAGGGGUCUGCGGUCUAUCAGCUUGUUGGUGAGGUAAUGGCUCACCAAGGCUAAGACGGAUACGGGGUGUGAGAGCAUGCCCCCGCUCACUGGGACUGAGACACUGCCCAGACACCUACGGGUGGCUGCAGUCGAGAAUCUUCGGCAAUGGGCGCAAGCCUGACCGAGCGACGCCGCGUGCGGGAUGAAGGCCUUCGGGUUGUAAACCGCUGUCGAGGGGAAUGAAGUGUAGGUGGGUACUCCCAUCUAUUUGACAGAUCCCUGGAGGAAGCAUGGGCUAAGUUCGUGCCAGCAGCCGCCGUAA
rnacentral:rRNA from 1 species